GAUGAACGCUGGCGGCGUGCUUAACACAUGCAAGUCGAACGGUGAAGCUCCUUCCUUUUUGGUUGGUUUGGAUGCGUGGCGAACUGGUGAGUAACACGUUAGUAACCCUCCCCCUUCUUCUGGAUAACCGCAUGACUGCGUGUCUAAUACUUGAUAUUCUGGCUCUUUUGCUUGAUUGGUCUGGGAAAGUUUUUGUUUCGGUUGGGGAUGGGCUCUCGGCCUAUCAGCUUGUUGGUGGGGUGAUGGCCUACCAAGGCGGUGACGGGUAGCCGGCCUGAGAGGGUGGGCGGCAACAGAGGGGAUACGACACGGAGAAGACUGAGACAGGAAGCAGCAGUGUGGAAUAUGGAACAAGGGGGACAAGGCAGAAGCAGCGACGCGGCGGGAGGGAAGGAGGCCGUCGGGUUAUGAACCUCUUUGGGCAGUGAAGCAGGCUUGCCUGGUAUGUGGGUGGGUUGACGGUAGCUGGAGAAAAAGCGCCGGCUAACUACGUG
rnacentral:rRNA from 1 species